rnacentral:rRNA from 1 species
AGACGUAGGGGGCGAGCGUUACUCGGAAUCACUGGGUUUAAAGGGUGCGUAGGCGGCCUGGUAAGUCAGAGGUGAAAUACACGAGCUUAACUGGUGAAUUGCCUUUGAAACUAUCAAGCUAGAAUUAUGUUGAGGUCAGCGGAAUGAGUCAUGUAGCGGUGAAAUGCAUAGAUAUGACUUAGAACACCAAUUGCGUAGGCAGCUGGCUAGGCAUUAAUUGACGCUGAGGCACGAAAGCGUGGGGAGCGAACAGGAUUAGAAACCCGAGUAGUCC